GCCAUUAGCAAGAAUUAUGCAAAGUGUGUCUCUAUGUUUUCUUCCUUUAUGAAAAACGGUGUCUUCAUUGAAGGGCUGGAGCUUUUUCACUGUCUCAUGUAGUGCAACAAUGGAAUUAUCAUUGUUAAUAUUUUCAUCAACAACAAUUAUGUCUUCUGUCUUCCGAGUACCCGUCCGCGAAUCAUCGCUAAACAACCCUUUAUCAGGGCCGCCUCCGCCGCCGCUGAAGCCGCCUCCGCCGCCGCUAAAACUGCCACCGCUUGAAUGCUCCUUGAGUGCUCGUAAGAUCUCUUCUUGUUGUUUCAUCGAUUGUUCUUGUUGUUUCAACAUGGCGGCUAGGGUUUCUUGGAAAUUUGAGAUUGCCUUGCCAUGUUCCUUGAGAGUGCUAUCAAUUUCUUGAUUGCGAGUGUUAGUCAUGGUAAUCGAAAGUAAUUCCGACCGGAGAUCGGAACGGCUCUGAUGCCCUUGAUAGGGUUAAACCCUAUUUGGAGAAGAUAGGAGAAUUUCAAACUUCAAAUCUGACUUCCUUCCUUCAUAUUACGUCGAUAAAUAAAUAAGUAAAUAACCCAAACAAUUAGUUAGACUCCCUAUCAUUAUUCUUCGCGUAACAUUUAUAGAAUCAGAAAACGAUUACGGUGAUUUUUGAACUUAAUCGCUAACUUAUAUCACCAUGAAAGUUGAAGGCUCCAAGAGAUGAAAGUGGAUAACUAUACUUCUUGUUGGUUUGCUGUCACUUGUUGUGGGCGCAAUUUCGGUAGGGGGAUCAAACCUGCUUCUUUUUACGGGUGAGAUGCCAAAUCCGCCAACACAUAUUCUCGAGCCUGUUGCUUCUUUCAAGAGUGUUCCUCGUUGCUAUAACCUGCACAUCUCCGUUUUAUUUAUCGAAGGUAUAUCUGAUAUUAUGAUUUGAUACUUAAACGAGUUUUGAAGAGGAUAUAUGAAAUUAUCACGAAUACACAAUUUUAUAGUGAACUAGAUUGAGAGGGAUGAAUGAAACCUUGAUCCAGGUUCGGUGGAGGUCGGAUUCAUCAACACUAUUAACAACUUCUUCAACAAAGUAGUUGGUGGGACUGAAGUGUUUAUCGCGCUUGACGUUGUCUUGAAGCUUUUCCAGCUUCAUCUUUGUAUCAACUCCAUUUUGAGUCUUCAAAUUUGCUCCUAAGUCCAAGAUCGCCUCCAAGUACCCGUUUAUCCAUUCGUUCCUUGCCAUCUCAAAACCGCUACCGCUUCCUAGCGGCAGUGGUAGUGGUGGUGGUGGUGAUGGGAGGAGGAGAAGCUUUCUUGGUUUGAAACAGAUAUGUGGGAGGCCUUUGAUGCCUUAUAAAGGCCUUUUGGCAUACAAGACAAUAUUAUGCCUUCUUUUAGUUACUAAAAUUGUUUUGUGAAUACAUAAGAUUCUUUUCACUUUGCACACUUACCUUUUAGCACAGAAACUUAUUUAAAUUGAUUGUAGAAAUAUGUAAAUUAUUUUUAGAACAUAUUUUAGCAUAGGCCGGUUUUUGUGACAAACUCAAGUUAGUUGUGUGAACUGUCAUAUGGUAAUGAAAAUAAGUUAGUUAUGUUAAGUUUUUUUACAGAUUAUAUAAUGAUAUUGUUUCUAUU
rnacentral:lncRNA from 1 species